UGUGAGCAGGAAAGCGAGGGGAUCGCAAGACCUUGCGCGAAUGGAGCGGCCGAUGUCCAGAUUAGCUAGUUGGUGGGGUAAAGGCCUACCAAGGCGACGAUCUGUAGCGGGUCUGAGAGGAUGAUCCGCCACACUGGGACUGAGACACGGCCCAGACUCCUACGGGAGGCAGCAGUGGGGAAUUUUGGACAAUGGGCGCAAGCCUGAUCCAGCCAUGCCGCGUGCGGGACGAAGGCCUUCGGGUUGUAAACCGCUUUCAGCCGGAAAGAAAUCGCCAAGGCUAAUAUCCUUGGUGGAUGACGGUACCGGAAGAAGAAGCACCGGCUAACUACGUG
rnacentral:rRNA from 1 species